AUAACACGAGCAUCUCGCCUUGCAUUCAAGUAUGAAGGUGGCGUGUACAUGAAUGAAAUGGAGGACCACGCCACACGGUACUGCAUCCUAGGUUUCUUUUCAGAGGUAUCCUAGAUUUCCAACCAAAAGGAGCUGCAUCUCCCUCGAGUCUGGCGGCUUGGGAUCUCACUACCUCGGCAAUAAUGCAUCCAUGGAGGGAGCUAGCUCGA
rnacentral:lncRNA from 1 species